GAGUCCUGGUGGCACUCCUCUGUUUGAUAAGGAGAAUAUGGAGACGGGCACUGGCCUCACCCCCAUCAUGACUCAGGCCCUGCGAUGCAAGUUCCAGAGUGCCUUACCACGAGGACUGUCUCCAAAGGCAAAGAAUCUCAACGAAAGCUUUGAUCAAAACUGAGACAUUUGUUGAUGUAUACACAGAUGUCGAUCGAGACUAGUUCAAAUGUAACGGAAAGGCAGCUGCCAUGAUGAAAAGUUCCAGUGUUGUAUGAGGACGGUAUGCAAGCUAUAGAUGUAACUAUUGGCACAAUGCACAUUCUCUAGCACUUUCUGGUUUCCGUUGCUAAAUGGGUUUCUGCCUUCUAUUGCUGGAUGGGUUAUUUCAUACUUUUACCAUUGCUGAAUGAAUUACUAAGUGCUAGGUAGAUUGAGGAUGAAAAGAGGAAACACUUGUCUUGGACCACAAUUUUAAAAAGGACAUAAGUUCUAAAGGCAAGAGCCUUGACCGCCCCACUAUAUCAAACAUAGGUUUGGUCAAUCCCAACACUGCCUCAAAACUGCAUGCUUCUUGGAAAAGUGACACCAAGGAGGAUGUUAAGUGAGCGAUACUGAGAUUUAAAAGGCAGUAGUUGAGAUACUCUGAACAUGUUGUGGAAACAAUCGAUGAUCUGUUACUUGGAAUGAGUGAGAAGCAUCACUUGGUUUGAAUGUGGUUUCAGUUUAAUCUUUUCUAUGAGGAAGUCAAUUUUAACUGUUGUAAAUGUAUCUGAGGAUCUAUGUUUGGAAAUUGCACAUUGACUGGGGGACCCUAUGUUUGAGCUAUUACACGUUAUUUGUUACUUUUUCCAAAAAGCUUCUUGCAUUAUCUUUUGAUUUUCAUUUUUUUUUAACAUUUUCAGCACAUUGUUUUAAAAAGUAUUUUAACCACUUGUGUUUAAGAAUACAAUUGAAUUUGUGAUUUCCUAGACAUGUUUAGGAAACACCAAAUAAAUUAACAAAAAAAAU